rnacentral:rRNA from 1 species
AACAGGAUUAGAUACCCUGGUAGUCCACACAGUAAACGAUGAAUACUUGCUGUUUGCGAUAUACAGCAAGCGGCCAAGCGAAAGCAUUAAGUAUUCCACCUGGGGAGUACGCCGGCAACGGUGAAACUCAAAGGAAUUGACGGGGGCCCGCACAAGCGGAGGAACAUGUGGUUUAAUUCGAUGAUACGCGAGGAACCUUACCCGGGCUUAAAUUGCAACUGACGGAUUUGGAAACAGAUCUUCCUUCGGGCAGUUGUGAAGGUGCUGCAUGGUUGUCGUCAGCUCGUGCCGUGAGGUGUCGGCUUAAGUGCCAUAACGAGCGCAACCCUUAUCUUUAGUUACUAACAGGUCAUGCUGAGGACUCUAGAGAGACUGCCGUCGUAAGAUGUGAGGAAGGUGGGGAUGACGUCAAAUCAGCACGGCCCUUACGUCCGGGGCUACACACGUGUUACAAUGGGGGGUACAGAAGGCAGCUACACAGCGAUGUGAUGCUAAUCCCAAAAGCCUCUCUCAGUUCGGAUUGGAGUCUGCAACCCGACUCCAUGAAGCUGGAUUCGCUAGUAAUCGCGCAUCAGCCACGGCGCGGUGAAUACGUUCCCGGGCCUUGUACACACCGCCCGUCAAGCCAUGAAAGCCGGGGGUACCUGAAGUACGUAACCGCAAGGAGCGUCCUAGGGUAAAACUGGUAAUUGGGGCUAAGUCGUAACAAGGUAACC